CGGAACGUGCCCAGUAGCGGGGGAUAACUACGCGAAAGCGUAGCUAAUACCGCAUACGCCCCACGGGGGAAAGCAGGGGAUCGCAAGACCUUGCACUAUUGGAGCGGCCGAUAUCGGAUUAGCUAGUUGGUGGGGUAAUGGCUCACCAAGGCGACGAUCCGUAGCUGGUUUGAGAGGACGACCAGCCACACUGGGACUGAGACACGGCCCAGACUCCUACGGGAGGCAGCAGUGGGGAAUUUUGGACAAUGGGGGAAACCCUGAUCCAGCCAUCCCGCGUGUGCGAUGAAGGCCUUCGGGUUGUAAAGCACUUUUGGCAGGAAAGAAAUGGCGUGUGUUAAUACCAUGCGCAGAUGACGGUACCUGCAGAAUAAGCACCGGCUAACUACGUGCCAGCAGCCGCGGUAAUACGUAGGGUGCAAGCGUUAAUCGGAAUUACUGGGCGUAAAGCGUGCGCAGGCGGUCCGGAAAGAAAGAUGUGAAAUCCCAGGGCUCAACCUUGGAACUGCAUUUUUAACUACCGGACUAGAGUAUGUCAGAGGGAGGUGGAAUUCCACGU
rnacentral:rRNA from 1 species